AUAUACACAUGCAUGUGUGUGUAUUUAUACAUAUAUAAUAAAUAUACACAGUACACAUACAUAUAUAAUGUACACAAAAACUUUUAUUUUGGAUGUGAUUAAUCAUGUUUAAUCAUUUGACAGCACUUAUUUAAAUGCAUAAGUCUACUGAAUCAUGGCACACAUAAAAUCUGCACUGCAAAUAAAAGUGAAUUAACAAAAUAAAUGCACAUGUGUUACGUACGCCGCGCUUCGUAAUUUUUGUUUGUGCGUAUGUUGUUGCAUAUGCUUGGCGUGUAUGUUUGUGUACUUUAUUUGUUUCAGGUGUGAAGCUCGAUUGGAGCGUCCGCCUGUCAAUCAGCUGACGUAGGAUGCUGACGUCUGGGAUCGCGCCACCAAUCGCCUGUCGCCGGGUAGUUUAUGAAUGGCUCUAACUUCAAUGGCGGGGGGGAUGAAAACAGACUCUGGGUUGGGAAAAGAGUUUGCACACGCUGUGAAGACGGUUCUCUUGUUCGAGAGACCAGUCUGAGCGACUGAUUAUUGUUCGGGGCUCGCUGCUUUUGUGAUCUUGCAGUUAGAUCAGUUCUCUUUGUUUGCGCUUGAAGGCGUACUGUGUUGCCCUUGGUAGCUUACGUGUUUGCAGUGCCUGCUAAAUGUUUGUUGCUGUCAUGAAAUCUUCAUCUCAGUUCAUCGUUUAACAUUGUGUAGACUGAUGGGAGAGGUUGUGAGCCAGGUAAGCAGGUCGCGACUUACAUUUGCACACGUAGUUACGGAGAUGUAUUAGAUGCACUAGUGUUAGGAGUGGUGCUAAUUAUGUAUGUUUUUGUUUUAGUUAGUAUAGUUUAGUUAGAGCGUCUUGUACGCUGAAGAUGUUUCUUUCUACCUUUUUUGUUGAUAGUUAGUUUAGUUCUUUAACUUUAGUUAAAGGGGCUUUUUGUUAUAUUCAGUUUUUUGAUUUAAGCACCACUCUUUUGCUCCUUCCUCUUCCCCAGAUUGUCUGUUGCUCUGGUUACUCUUGUUACGUUGUACUAAUUAUAAAUAUUCAUUACUUUAUUAUUCUUCAUUAUUAUUAUUAUUUUUCCCUUUGUUACUACUUCACUUUAUUGUAGUUGAAGAAUUAAAAUCUUUCAACUCAGUUAUGGAUGGUUGUCUGUUCCUUUCCAAUAACAGAUUUCUCGUCACUAUAUUGACACACAUGCAAAACUUUUGUUACGUCUAAUAAUAUUCCUAGACAAAUAACAUCUAA
ensembl:lncRNA